CAGUGGAACCAGAAAGAAUGUCUGGCUCCUAGGCUGGUGGCUGGACAGCAGAGGAGGUGAGUGAAGAACUUGGGAGUGAAGAGAUAAAAGGAGUGGACAUGCCUCAAAUGUGGAUAGCACCCUGGAAGAUACUCUUAGCCAGCCAUGGAGGUGACCAUGUAAUGUGGUCCCACUGUCCAGGAUAAAAGGUCCCCUGAACAGAACUAGAGAUAAGUUGAAAGGACUAGAGAAGCUACUUCCAAGUUUCUGAUACCUUUGCACUCAUUUCUUA
rnacentral:lncRNA from 1 species